AACACUUUCUUUCACAAAGUGGAGUAGAUACAAAGCAAUUUCUUCUUGCCCAAUAAUUUUGGGAGAAAGUAACUUUACUUCAGUGGCUAUUGACGAUCUUGCACCUAAUGCGACGCACAGGCAAAUAAAAUUGUCACAUCAAAAAAUGUUCACACUGCCCCUUAUUUGCAUACAGGCAUGGGAUAGUUUUUUGCAACUUGAGUUUACCUUAUGGUUUUGUUUUGAAAAACGUCGUUUUUUGUUUUAAUUCGAGAAAUCUUAAAUCUGAAAUAAAAUUAUUUUUUGUUGACAACUUUAUAGAGCAGAAAAGUCGAUUUUCAAUCCUACGAAAUUAUUUAAUGCUUGCCAUGAUGUUCACGACUCCCACUGUUCCUAUCGUGACGUUGUUUUGUUUACAACAUCAAAAAGUGCAGUUUCGUUAGCCAAACUAUACCAUCCAAUAUUUACGCUUGCGAACCAUGUCGGAAACGGGAGAAGCACGGAGUUCAUCGGAAAUCGCCGACGAUGUGGAUAUGGAGGAAGAGUAUCUUUUGGAUGGAAGCGCAGAGGAUCUGCUUGCCAGAUUUCGUUCCAGUAUCCACUCCAGCUCCGAUGACCCAGAUUCUAUUGAGGAAAUUAUGGAACAGAUUCCCGUGAAGAAAAGGGCGAACAUCAGGUGCCUACAUCGCCCGCUGGGAUAUAUCCGUGAACAGCAGAGAAGAGUUUUUGACAACGGUGUGGAAUUUGGCACGUGAAUAUCUGCAUCGUGAAAUCAUUUUUGAAGCAGGUGACUCUUCUCCUAAAUGGUGUUCCAAAGAAAAACCGACCGAGGAAGAUUUCAACAAGUUUGCUCUGUUUCAAUCAGGUUGACGUUAUUAUAAAGUAGAGAACAUACAAGACAGCAAACACAAUCUUCUUCAAAAUUGGCGAGAUAAAGAAAUAUCCCUGUAUCUACAUAUUUAUUCACUGAGUGUGAGUAACCGAGCAAUUUGGAACACUGUUAAAGAGUGUCUCAUUGAACCAAAUGAACGAGAUCGUGCAGGACCCAUGGAGGAUUGCUUGAAGCCCAUGGUAUGGCAUGGACUUUUUGGGCCAAUGCAAUACAGAGUGCUCCGGCAUACAAGCGUUCUUCAAUGAUGGAAUAUCCCCCUCAGACGUUGGCAGGGUUAUUUAGAGCGAAAGAAGGGAUACGAG